ACUUAGCACAUGUGCUCCAGGCGCUAACGGAAGUGGUAGCGUUGUGCAACACAAAAACCCUCCGGCUAGACCAGUGUGCUGCGUAUUUAACAGCAUUGCUUAUUACAAUACAAUAAAUUUAGCGAAGCUUCGAGGCAGAUAAAUUUCCUCGAGGAUUUUUUGUAAUCGAGUUACUCGAGUUACUCGAUGAAUCGUUUCAGCCCUACAUUCAUCAUUAAA